GAUGAACGCUGGCGGCGUGCCUAACACAUGCAAGUCGAACGGAGUCCAGCCUUUAAGACCUUCGGGUCAAAGAGGGGAAGACUGAGUGGCGGACGGGUGAGUAACUCGUGGGCAACCUGGCUCAUAGAGGGGGAUAACAGAGAGAAAUUUCUGCUAAUACCGCAUAAGCACACACUGCCGCAUGGCAGAGGGUGAAAAGAGAAUCGCUAUGAGAUGGACCCGCGUCUGAUUAGCCAGUUGGCAGGGUAAGAGCCUACCAAAGCGACGAUCAGUAGCCGAUCUGAGAGGAUGAACGGCCACAUUGGGACUGAGACACGGCCCAAACUCCUACGGGAGGCAGCAGUGGGGGAUAUUGCACAAUGGGGGGAACCCUGAUGCAGCGACGCCGCGUGAGUGAAGAAGUAUUUCGGUAUGUAAAGCUCUAUCAGCAGGGAAGAUAAUGACAGUACCUGAAUAAGAAGCCCCGGCUAACUACGUG
rnacentral:rRNA from 1 species